GAUGAACGCUGGCGGCGUGCCUAAUACAUGCCAGUCGAGCGAACGGACGAGAAGCUUGCUUCUCUGAUGUUAGCGGCGGACGGAAGAGUAACACGUGGAUAACCUAACUAUAAGACUGGGAUAACUUCGGGAAACCGGAGCUACUACCGGAUAAUAUUUUGAACCGCAUUGUUCACAAGUGAAAGACGGUCUUUCUGUCACUUAUAGAUGAAUCCGCCCUGCAUUAACUAGUUGGUAAGGUAACUGCUUACCCAGGCUACGAUGCAUAGCCGCCCUCAGAGGGUGGUUGGCCAGACUGUAACUGAGACACGGCCCAGACUCCGACGGUGGGCAGCAGUAGGGAAUCUUCCGCAAGGGGCGAGUGCCGGACAGUGCAACGCCGCGGGAGGGAUGAAGGUGUUCGGACCGGAAAACGCUGUUAUUAGGGAAGAACAUAUGUGUAAGUAACUGUGCACAUCUUGACGGUACCGAAUCAGAAAGCCACGGCUAACUACGUG
rnacentral:rRNA from 1 species